GGGGCUGAUUUAGCUUUCGACGAGGGAACCUUAACAUCAUAAUUUGCAGGUCGAUGGUAAUCGAAAAAUACAUUUUUAAUUGCAACAUUCAUUGCAAAAGCUAAGAGUUAUGUAGCUAGACUCGUUGAGUCAAGCUCUAUGGCCUUAGCACCAGCUCUAGUUUAAUUUAGGGCCAUCGCUCCGUGUCGCGACUAAUACGGUCAGUGGUGUUAUAUUCUGUCGCUCAUCGCAUCAAUAGGUAAGCAGUGUUGAUGCGAGACAAGUUAUCUGCUCGACAAAGAAUGAUUUUUGCUAAUUUUAGAUUAUUUCUAAGUCGUUAAUUUUUAAAUUAGAUAUGCCUGUAGAUAAUUAUGAAGUUAUCCUUCGGACCGGGGUGCGAUUCCCCGCAGCUCCACCA
rnacentral:tmRNA from 1 species